GUUAAUUACAGGUGCUUGUCCGUGUGAAAGCUGGUAAGAGAUAUCAUUUAAAUGUUUCUGAAGAGCCACCAAGUGAACGCAGUUUGAGAGAGUUUACCAAAGAAGAGAUCAAUUUUACAAAGAUGGGAAUAAUUGUGCUGAAUAUUCUUACUGAUGCUUCAUAUGACCUAUUAAAACAAGAUAUACCAAAUCUACGUCCAAGGAGCGACUGUGAUAUAACAUACUUGUACCAGGAGCACUUCAAACUAAGAAAACAUGCUCCAUCUAAUGGAUGGGGAGGGAAAUGGCAGAAAAUUCAGGUCACAAACAUAGCUGUUGGAGAUGAUAUUGAGCGCAUAAGACUUACAAGGAAUGAACUAUAACACUCAACGACAGCUGAACUUGGAGAUACACGUUUUAAUCAGUUGUGUAACAUAUUAACUGAACUCUUAAAACGGUAAGACCACUAUAACAAACCACAAAAGCUGUAUACAGAUGAGCUUAAGGAUAUUUUGGCUAAAACUAUUACAGAUGAGGAUGUGAAAUCAGUUAAAAAUGAUUUACCGGAAAUGACUGUUGAAGUCGAAAUAGAACAACAAUUUAGUGUUCCAAUGCAUUAGAGAAAUAAAGUUGUUCUCAUCAUUUGUAUGGCAAACAGUUAUUUUACUAUAGAAACAGAUUUGCAAAAGACCAAUCCCUUGUGGAUAGAAGGCGAUCAUCUUUAUAUCUAAUCAUGUUAAUAGCAAUGUAAUGCUGCCGAUAAAAAUCAGACAAUCAUGUAGAGUAACUCUACCUUAUUAUACUUGUCACAGGGUUUGUUCUUACAUGAGCAACAGGACGGGUGCCACUAGUGGAGCAGGAUCUGCUUACCCUAUUGAAGCACCUGAGAUCCCCCAAAGUUUUGGUGGGGUUCUUGUUGCUCAGUCUUUAGUUUUCUAUGUUGCGUUUUGUUUACUGUUGUUUGUCUGGUUACACUCCAUUAUUCCGACAGCCAAUUAGUCCGACAGCUCAGUGGUCCGACGGCCCAUUAGUCCGACAGCUCAGUGGUCCGACGGCCCAUUAGUCCGACAGCUCAGUGGUCCGACGGCCCAUUAGUCCGACAGCUCAGUGGUCCGACGGCCCAUUAGUCCGACAGCUCAGUGGUCCGACGGCCCAUUAGUCCGACAGCUCAGUGGUCCGACGGCCCAUUAGUCCGACAGCUCAGUGGUCCGACGGCCCAUUAGUCCGACAGCUCAGUGGUCCGACGGCCCAUUAGUCCGACAGCUCAGUGGUCCGACGGCCCAUUAGUCCGACAGCUCAGUGGUCCGACGGCCCAUUGUUCCGACAGCCAAUUGGUCCGACAACCCAUUAGUCCGAAAACCCAUUGAUCUGACAGCCCAAUAAUCCGACAACCCAUUAGUCCGUCACUUAGAAAUAAUCAAUGCGCGGUAUCAGGGUAAAAGAAAAUAUGUCUGUCUGUAUUAUAACGUAUAUGUCAUUACAUAUCAUGUACAGAAAUAAUUCCAUAUAUAUUAUAUAGAUCUAUAUACGUGUUCGAAUACUUUUCAUAUACAUUGUACCUAAUUUAAAUUUGUGUAUAGAGGUCUAUUUUUCAAUUUCGUGCCUUUUCGUAUAUACAGAAAUCGUGUGAAUAUUAAAAGAAUUCAAAAAACGAAUAUACAUGUACAUCUAACUAUUUCCGUUUGGAUAGACUUGUAUAUACGGAAUUAUGAUGUACCCCCGUAACAUUCUGUGCAUACGUAAAUACAGACUAUGCAGAAUUAUAAUUACAUAUAUAUUUAAACAUAUAUGAAUAAUUCUAAUAACGUUAUACAGGGAAUUAUUUAUACAGAUUUUCGUCAAACUAUUUUCUACUAGUUAGGCAAGGUCAUAAUGUGGUUUGCUUUAUAAAAUACAGAAUCUAUUCUGUAUAUUGGAUACUGUGAAGCUCCAAUAUGGCCAAAUCUGAACCGACACCUUAGAAAUUAGGUGGGCGUUUUGUCUUUUUCUUAUUUUGCCAUGGCAUUGUCAGUUUAUCUUUGACUUAUGAGUUUGAAUAUCUAUUUGGUAUCUUUCGCCUCUCUUUUAUAAAGAAAUUGUCAAGAUAAAAAAAAGUGGACUAAAGAGGAAAUUUUGUAAUAAAAUUGACAACUGGACCAAGUUUGGUCUGUUAUAGUAAAUGAUAGCAAGGUGUAAUUGUCUUUGUGACAGAGUUCAUCUGACCUUGACCUCAUUUACAUAGAUCAUUGAUAAUGUUGAUGUAUGUGAUACUUGUUGUAAAGCCUUUUUCUAUAAGACUUUCUAUAUAAAUUCAGUCAUGGUCAGUAAAUUAAAGCAGGCUAGACAUUUAUACGAGUGCUAUCUUGUUUUUUUUCCUUCUCUAAACCUACAUCUUUCGCCACUAGAAAAAAAACAUAUUUGCUCACAAUUUCUAAACAUAUUACAUAUACAUUGUUGGCAAUUCAGAAUACACUAUAGAAUAUUAUUAUGGACUACAGCUAACUUUCCAAUCAACAAUACCAAUAAUAUAUAAGGAACUAUCACAAAUAAAAGCUUAUACAUCGUCA